CAGGGACCCUGCUGCCCGCACAUUGUACUAAUAUUAGUUACCUAUCAGCAGCCCUCCCCUUAUGAGGGGCGAUGGAUUUACCCUGUUGCCUGGAGACCAGACUCAAACAGAGACCCAGAGAGAGCACCGGGCGCUGGCUCCAGAGGGGUUAAGAACGAGUCCUGGAGCAGAUAACUCCUGGAAUGGAUAAUGGAGCCGAGUAAUCCCAGGAAAGUGAAGCCUCAGCUCGAGCUGGGGGGAGAUGACAGGAAGAAGGCAGCGUCUGUGGACCCCCUCCCCAGAUUUGGAGCUGUGGAAGCAGAAACAAGAGAAGAUACACAGACCCACAAGACUCCUGAGUCUUGGUCUCAAGACUCUAUGGAAGGAGUGAAUAUGGAAAUUGAACAUUGUUUGAACCUAAUCCUGAUUGGAGCACUGAGCCACCUGUACUUGCUGUUCAGAGACCCCAACCAAUGACCUAAGUCCAUGUUGGCAAACCUAUGGCACGGAGGAGGCUGUUCCCCUUGACUUCUCUACACACAUCUGAAGACAUCUCUCUCAUCACCUGCCCCUCUGCCCAGCAGCCCAAUGAUAGUACUUCCUCCCUCCCCUGUCUGGGGUAAGGCAGGAGGUUUACAGGUGGAGUGAAGGUUGCAAUUUGGGCACUCAGUCUCUAAAAGGUUCACCAUCACUGACCUAACUUAUGUCUAAAGAUAAAUGUAAAGAGUUUUCUCAUAACUGUGAAUCUAAGUAACUCAUAUAUCUUAUAUGAAAGGUAGCCCCAUUCUAAUCAAAUAGUUAUUGUUUCUAUGUUCUUUUGAUUGUGUAGAACUACUUGGCAGGAAUUAUGAGACAUUUCAGUCCAUAUCACUAACACCAAAAGUCUAGUCCAAAGAGUCAAUGAGCCAACGAUAAAAGAAGGAGCAGGUGUUAUUCCUUAACCACUAUAAAGAAUAUGUGAAAGAUCAUUAAAAAAGGCAAAUGUUUUGCCUUUGAAGA
rnacentral:lncRNA from 1 species